UUUUCAUGGGGCCCCAUACGCGCUUUGCGUCGACGCGAUUCGAUUUCUUUUUGCGGCGGUAUAUACGCGUGAAGAAAGAAGAUCAAAGAAUAGGUGAGUAAGAAUGUAUUGUUAAUCACAUUAUGCAUUGUUACUUACAUUGGUUGUUUUAGAUUACGUGUGACGUCACGAAGCAGUGAUGACGUAACAGAAGAACCUGCUUCAACAUGGGUAUGUGACGUCACAGAGGAUCCUGCCACUGCUUCCCGCUGCUUCUCUCACUCGCAAGUAAGAAGACAAGACAAGACGAAGAAAGAAAAAAGCGCAAGAUGAAGAACAAAGACGAAGACGCCAAUAUAAGGAUGCCGGUUUGAGGUGUUUGUAGGUUUAAGUGUGUAUAGGUUUAUUUACAGGUGUACACGCGAAGAAAGAAGAUCAAAGAAUAGGUGAGUAAGAAUGUUAAAUAAGUCACAGUAUGCAUUGUUACGUAUACCGGUUGUUUCAGAUGACGUAGAAGAUACACGUCACGAAGCAGUGAUGACGUAACAGCAGAGCCUUCUAAAACAUGUGUGCGAGACGUCACGGAGGAUCCCGAAAGAUCUGAAAAGAUUCUCUCGCGAAUGAGAAAGAUAUUAUGACGUAACAAGCAUACUAUGCAAAGGACGAUGUCGACAAUAAAGAGAUGCCGCGCGGUUUAAGGUGAUUCAGAUUUAGUGUUAAUGUAUGAAUGUGUUUGUGUGUGUGCUGGUGCACUCUUACAGUGUUGCCAGCUACUUUUGCUGGACCUAAUGUUGCCAGCGUUCUAUGCACUCUUAAAAGUGCAUUUGUUUACAUGUAUUUGAAAUAAAUGCAAAGGAAUUGUUGCAACGAUCUUACUAAGUUA